ensembl:lncRNA
AAUUUAUAUUAUUCAAUUAUUUUUUUUGUAUACUAUACAAAUCAAAAUAAAAUUCUGCAAUCAUUACAUUUAUCAAAUGCUAAUAGUGUUAAAAAAAAUAUGCAAAAUAAAACAGAUAAUUUGAAUGCACAAAAAAUUGGACAGAAACAGUACCCCGAACAGAGCAUAGAUGUUAGUUACAUAAAUGAAAAUUAUAAUUUAUCAUUAUAUAAAACAUAUUUUAAUAUACACGAUUUUAAUUUUGUUAUUGAAUUAAAAGAUCUAUAUUUUUAUUUUGAAGGAUUUGAAUGCUCUUUUUCUAAAAUAAAAAGAAGAAUAAUAGAAAUGUAUGGAUCAAUAAAAACUGCUAUAAUACUAUGUCAAGAAAAUUGUAACGAUGAUAAAAAAAAAUUUUCUAACUAUCAUGAUAAUACUAGUAACUCUUCUGAUAAGUUACAUAAUAAAAAUCAGGAUCAAAAUUUAAAUACAUUUGAUUUAUUUUUAAAAGACAGAUAUAAAUAUACUAAAUAUGAUGAAACAUCACUUUCAGAAUAUAAUUCAUUACUUGAUACACAAUCAAUGAAAAUAAGAAAAAAAAAUGUAAAAAAAAUAAAUAAAAAAGUUUUUAUGUGUUUAAUGUAUAAUAUAGGAAUUUAUGUAAAACAUUGUUUAAUUUUAUGGGAUAGUUUUUCUGCUUUCUUAGAAGAUGGUUUAUUAGAUUUUAAAAUUUUUAUUAAUAUUUUAAAUGGUAUAACUAAUACGUCUACUGCGGUAGUAGAAGAAAUAAAAAAAAAAAUAUUAAACGAAACCAGUAGUAACAGUAACAACGAUAACGAAUUAAAACCAAAUAACUUCCCAGUUCGAAACAGAUUAGCAGGAACAAUAUGUCCUAAUACUUUUAAAAAUAUAAAUAAAGAUUUUACAAUGCACGCAUUUACUAUCGAUGAAAUAGAAAUAUUUGUUGAAUUGUUUAAUUAUAUUUAUCCUUUUUAUUAUCUAACUAUAGAUGAAAAAAAACAGUUUAUAAAUAAAUUAAAAAAAAAAUGUUUUAAACAAAAUUACGAUUUUAUGUCAUUACAGGAAACUCAUAUAAAAAACAAAAACAAUGUAUCAUCUUGUAAUAAAAAAUAUAUGAAUGAAACUAUUUAUAUUUUAUUAAAUGGUAUUUUAAAAAAUAGAAAAGAUGCUAAUGAUUUUAUAAAUAGCAUUAAUGUAAUUAAAGAAGAAAAUUUAUACAAUUAUAUUACACAUACUGCAGUAGCUAUUGUAGAAAUAAACGCAAAUCUUUUUACUGAUAGUUUUAUCAAAUUAUUAGAUAAAAAAAAAACAAUAUCUGAAGAAUUUAUUCAAACUAUUAACCAUACACCAAUAUUUAAAAAUUUUCCCUUUGCUUUAAAAAACACUAUAUCAAUUACUAUACAAGAAUGUAAAUUUGAAAAAAAUAAAAUAAUAAUACGACAUCACGAUGACGCUAAUUAUUUUUAUAUUCUAAAAAAAGGGUUACUUAAUGCAUGUUAUGGUAGUAACAAUAAUGACAGUGGCAAUAACAGUGGCAAUAACAAUGGCAAUAAUAGUGGCAAUAAUAGUGGCAAUAAUAGUGGUAAUAAUAACAGUGGCAAUAACAGUGGCAAUAACAGUGGCAAUAACAGUGGCAAUAACAGUGGUGAUAAUAACAGUGGUAAUAAUAAUGGCAACAAAAGUAACGUUAUUAACACUAUACGCCAAUAUGAAUUUUUUGGAGAAUUAGCCAUCAUAUUUAAUACAUUAAGAACAUGUAAUGUAGUAGUAGAAUCAGAUAUUGCCAUAUGUUAUUAUAUGCCAAAAGUCCGCUUUUUAUCUCUUCUAACUAAAGAUAUACUACAAGAAUUCAUACAAUAUAUUUAUACUAACUACCAUAAAAAUGAAACUCAACAUCUUAUAAAAAAUUAUAUUAAUAGUAAGGAUUGCAGCUAUGGAAUUAUUAAUGAACAUAUGAAUGAAUUAAUUAAUAAAAAAGAAGAAAAACAGAACAAAAAACAGAAAGAAAAACAGAAAGAAAAAGAUCGUAACGGUGACAAUAAUGAUAAUAACAAUUAUUACAAUGAUCAAGAUUCCGUUUUUUCUGAAAGUUUUAAUAAUAAAUUAAUCACCAAUGAAAAUAUGUCAAACGAACAGAAUAAUUACGAUAUAUUACAGAAAUAUAGUAAAAGUAAAAGUUCUGGAUUUAAAAAGUUAGAUACCUUUCUUUCCAGCUUAUCUUCGAGUCAUAUUGCAUUAAAUGUUGACUAUAUUAAUGAAAAUAAUAUAAAAUCUUUUUAUAGUGAUUUAGAUAAAAUAUUACUAAAUAUUUAUAAUACCGAACAAAAAUAUUUUGCAAAAGAAAUGGAAAUUAACUUAAUGAAUGUAAAAGUUUUUAAAAAAAUAUUAACUAAUAUGAAAGAUAAAGAAAGCUUUUUAAAAAAACUAAAAUAUUUAAAAUGUCCUAAAGGAAAGCAAUUAAUAUUAGAAGAUGAGUAUUGUGAAUAUUUUUUUUUUAUUAAAGAGGGGGAAAUUGUAAUACAAAAAUUCAAUGAACAUAAAAAUAUUUAUGAUGAAAUUAUUGUUUUAAAAAAAAAUGAAUAUUUUGGACCCCAAUUAAUUUUAAGUAAUAUGAAAUCAAUUUUUAUUGCUGUUGCAAAAGUAGAUUCGGAAUUAUAUACAUUAGAUGCAGAAUCAUUUAAACAAUUUUUAACUCCUUAUAUCGAUUUACUUAAUAGUUCAUACGAUAUAAUACAAUUAAAUAUGAUAUCUGAAGCAGUUAAUGAGGAUAUAAAAAAAUUAAAAAAAGAAGAUGAUUUUAUUUUAAAAGUAAUAAAAAUAUUAAAAAAAGUACACAUUAUUCAAAAAUUAAAUGAAAAGGAACUUUAUAAUUGUGCCAAACAUUUUGAAUUUAAAUUUUUUAAAAAAGGAAGUAUUAUAAUAAAAUAUCAAGAUGUAUCCGAUUAUUUUUAUAUUAUUAAAAAAGGAAUUGUUGUAGUAAUUUUAGAUCAUAAUGAAAUGGAAGAAACAGAUAAAAAUAGUAAUAAAAAUAGU